rnacentral:rRNA from 1 species
GACGAACGCUGGCGGCGUGCCUAAUACAUGCAAGUCGAACGCAGUGGGGACGGGUGAGUAACACGUGGGUAACCUCCCAUCAGAGGGGAUAACACUUGGCUACUGGUGCUAAACCGAUACUGAUGGAUGGAGCCGCGGUGCAUUAGCUAGUUGGUGGGGUAACGGCUCACCAAGGCCACGAUGCAGAGCCGACUUGAGAGGGUGAUCGGCCACACUGGGACUGAGACACGGCCCAGACUCCUACGGGAGGCAGCAGUGGGGAAUCGUGGGCAAUGGGCGAAAGUCUGACCGAGCCACGCCGCGUGAAUGAAGAAGGUUUUCGGAUCGUAAAGCUCUGUUGGUAGAGAAGCGGUAUCUAACCAGAAAGCCACGGCUAACUACGUGCCAGCAGCCGCGGUAAUUC